GACGUAGGGGGCCAGCGUUGCUCGGAAUAACUGGGCGUAAAGGGUCUGUAGGCGGUGUGGCAAGUCGGGAGUGAAAUCUCUGGGCUUAACUCAGAGGCUGCUUCCGAAACUGCUGUGCUGGAGUGCGGGAGAGGCGAGUGGAAUUGCAGGUGUAGCGGUGAAAUGCGUAGAUAUCUGCAGGAACACCCGUGGCGAAGGCGGCUCGCUGGACCGCAACUGACGCUGAGAGACGAAAGCUAGGGGAGCAAACAGG
rnacentral:rRNA from 1 species